UCCAGAUGGUCUGACGUCACCACCACGCUAAAUCUUUCCCAGUGUUAUAAACAUGGCGAAGCAGUUAACGAAACCUGCACCAAACUUUGGGUCCUUUCUGAACCUCUUCCCGGAGGCAGGCUGCCUCUGGAAAAAAAGAGCAAUGAACCCUUCUUCCAGAACACCAGGCAAGAAUACAAAGGCCUGGAGACCUUUUAUUCAGUGUACACCUAAAUAAGUUGUACGGCUUCCUGGACAUCCUUCAGAAGCAGCCAAAUCUCUACAAGAGUCUCUCUGUCCCUGGGGAAGAUUUCACCGGAUGCUGACUAUGUAGUCGGCCUCAUCGCUCCUGAAAUGAGCAGGAGAGGAACCUUCAGGACUGCCAUAUUCAGAAUCUUUAAGGACUUUGUUCAAGAUGUGGAAAGGAGGAAUGGAGGAAAAGGCAGUGCACAGUGAACUUGGAGGAGAGGAAGAAGAUGGACAAGUGGAGCCAUCCAGUCGAACAGUUUUCACUGUCCCUAAAGUUAUGCUAUGGGUCAGGGACAAGUAUUUUAUACAAAUCAUUUUUAAAUGUAGGCCUUAGACACUCACUGUAAAUAAGACAAAUAAAACCCAAUAUUUUACCCUUUUGACCUCCAUACAGCAAAGUGGCACAUCCCAAAUUAUGCUGAGCUGCAGGUCACCAGUCUAUGGUCCAUGAAGUGUCUGUCAUGGUGCAGCAUGGUGCAUUGUCCAGAAAAUGUUAGAAUUUUCAAACUAGUUUUCAUUGGGACGGCAGAUAAAGCAAUCACUUACAUGUGAUCACAGAAUCCUACUCAUUACUCCACCUGCUUAAUUGCAUCACUUGUUUUUGUUACAUAUUGUAUCUCAUGACAUUCUGUUGAUUUGUAUCUAUUUGAAUGUUUAUUUUCUGUCAAAGGGAUUACCUUUUCGCAUAGUUAAAAAUGUAACUUAAUGACUGCAGCUAUUUGUAUUCAAACACUUCUAUUUUAGUCAUUUAAAUAAAUGUUGUCCAUAGUGUGGUGGUAGAAUGUGCUGAGCUGGUCUGUAGCCUAUUCUGUGUUGGACUGUGAUUGGCCUCUCAGACUCCUGGUAUGUCUGCACCCUAACACAAUGCAAUUGUGUUCUGGAACUGUUGCUUGUAUAAAUAACUUGUGUAGCAAUAGGAUUGUAUUAUCUCAUUAUAUAAGGGACAUUUAACCAUUUACUCUUUGAGUUCUUCCCAGUGAAAUCAGAGAUCUCCCCUGCAGCUCCUUGAUUAAAGAUUUUUCGAAUAUUCAA